UCGACAGGAAGAAUCUGGCACAGUUGCUUUUCAACUUCGCCCCUGUCAGUUCUGUAGUGGUAAUGUUUGCACUGUUAAACAAUUGACAAUGCCUGUGGAGAGCCUGCCAGUCCGGGAUUUGUCUAUUCAUGUCCGUUUACUACAGCAGUAUGUGGUUCUUCUGAAGAAAUACCCCAUCCUCACUAAAUCUGUAACGAGUGGCAUCCUCUCAGCUUUAGGGAAUCUUCUGUCUCAGAUUGUGGAGGCAAGAAAAAAGGCCAAAAAUGGAGUCCCGGUCAAUGAGAUUGACGCAGCUGGAGCUACACGCUAUGCCAUUUAUGGGUUGUUUAUUACAGGACCGGUGAGCCAUUACUUUUACCAGCUGAUGGAAGUGUGGAUGCCCAGCACAGACCCGUACUGUAUAGUCAAACGUCUGCUGCUGGAUCGGCUUGUUUUUGCCCCUGGCUUUCUGCUCCUCUUCUACUUUGUUAUGAACAUCCUGGAGGCCAAAGGGUGGGGAGACUUUGAGAAGAAGAUGAAAGGAAGUUACUGGACUGCUUUAAAGAUGAAUUGGAAAGUUUGGACCCCCUUCCAGUUCAUCAAUAUCAUCUUUGUGCCUGUUCAGUUCCGAGUGCUGUUUGCCAACAUGAUCGCCUUAUUUUGGUACGCCUACCUUGCAUCUGUGAGGAAAUGAAGCUUCCCUAAAUGUACUCACAGAAAACGGCUUCUUCACAGUGGCUUUAACAUUAGGGUGUUUACUGUACUACUACUAUAUACCUGUUCCUAAUCUGGGCAAUAAUUCUCACAUACAGUAGCUCUUCUAAUUAACUCCUAACAAACCUGUAAAAUGAGUUCAAGCCAUUAUAACAUGCUGCUAUGAUAUUUUGGAUACAUUACUGUAUUUGUAAUAAGCGAACAUAAUAAAUGCAUUAUCUACAGAGCACUGCCAUAAUCUGGUAAGAUGUAAUAGUAAACCUCAAAUUACAUGACAGAGACAGUCUCUUUUAAAUACUGGAAUAAAUGUCAAUUUUAAUGUGUGUCUUUUUAAUUACUUGUGGUUGUGGUCUGCACAGGGUGCAGCUCCACGCCUGAGCUGAAGAAAUAGUGCAGGAAAUGUAAAGACAUGCAACUUCACAUUUGGGGCUUAAUUUUUUUUUAUUACUUUUUAUUUUUAAAGCAGUGCCCAGUCAACAGAAUAAAAAUAAAAUGACAACAUGCUGGGUUGUGUGUAUGACAUAUUUUUAUUGUCAAAACAAAUUAAUAUAUUAAGCCAAAACAAGUUUUAAGACAUGACAGAAUUACACAGAGGAAUGCACUGAUUUU